AUUGAACGCUGGCGGCAUGCCUUACACAUGCAAAUCGAACGGUAACGGGCCUUCGGGUGCCGACGAGUGGCGAACGGGUGAGUAAUACAUCGGAACGUGCCCGAUCGUGGGGGAUAACGAGGCGAAAGCUCUGCUAAUACCGCAUACGAUCUACGGAUGAAAGCAGGGGACCGCAAGGCCUUGCGCGGACGGAGCGGCCGAUGGCAGAUUAGGUAGUUGGUGGGAUAAAAGCUUACCAAGCCGACGAUCUGUAGCUGGUCUGAGAGGAUGAUCAGCCACACUGGGACUGAGACACGGCCCAGACUCCUACGGGAGGCAGCAGUGGGGAAUUUUGGACAAUGGGCGCAAGCCUGAUCCAGCCAUGCCGCGUGCAGGAUGAAGGCCUUCGGGUUGUAAACUGAUUUUGUACGGAACGAAAAGCCUUCUUUUAAUACAGGAGGGUCAUGACGGUACCGUAAGAAUAAGCACCGGCUAACUACGUG
rnacentral:rRNA from 1 species